rnacentral:rRNA from 1 species
GUGGGCAAUCUGCCCUUCACUCUGGGACAAGCCCUGGAAACGGGGUCUAAUACCGGAUAAACUCUGUCCCGCAUGGGACGGGGUUGAAAGCUCCGGCGGUGAAGGAUGAGCCCGCGGCCUAUCAGCUUGUUGGUGGGGUGAUGGCCUACCAAGGCGACGACGGGUAGCCGGCCUGAGAGGGCGACCGGCCACACUGGGACUGAGACACGGCCCAGACUCCUACGGGAGGCAGCAGUGGGGAAUAUUGCACAAUGGGCGAAAGCCUGAUGCAGCGACGCCGCGUGAGGGAUGACGGCCUUCGGGUUGUAAACCUCUUUCAGCAGGGAAGAAGCGAGAGUGACGGUACCUGCAGAAGAAGCGCCGGCUAACUACGUGCCAGCAGCCGCGGUAAUACGUAGGGCGCAAGCGUUGUCCGGAAUUAUUGGGCGUAAAGAGCUCGUAGGCGGCUUGUUGCGUCGGUUGUGAAAGCCCGGGGCUUAACCCCGGGUCUGCAGUCGAUACGGGCAGGCUAGAGUGUGGUAGGGGAGAUCGGAAUUCCUGGUGUAGCGGUGAAAUGCGCAGAUAUCAGGAGGAACACCG